rnacentral:lncRNA from 1 species
AGUUCAGAAAGAGGUGUGCAGAACGGACAGGUUCAAAGUGGCUGAAGGGAUAGGCAUGCCAAUACAGGGGCCAGGUGCUGGCCCAGCGUGCCAACUGGGGCAGGGAGGCCAACCAAUUUAAAGAGUAGAAUAGGUAGAAUAGAAAGCACUUUGGAAUUAAUGUUCAGUUCAGUUUUAUAGGAUUGGCCAACUUAGUGACAAAGCUCUGAUUUGAACACUGAGCUCUAGAUUACAAGCCCUCUAAAUACAUGUGCCAUCUAUAUAUGAGUUGAGCUAGUGAAAUGAAAAGUCAUAAUAUAACAUAGUUAGAAAUAAGUCAAAAUCAGUCUAAUAAUCUUCCAAACCAAUCUCAGAUUUGAUAAUAUUCUUAAACCUGGGAGCCAGCAGCUGUCUAGGGAUCCCAUGAAUAUCACUGGCAAUCUGAAAGUACAAUCUGUUCCCUGGUAAAUCUGCCACUCAGGUCCCUUUACAUGUUUUCAUUUCAUAAGCAAAUUCUCUUUGUCACUUCACAAUUAAUAAACAUAUUAAACAACAGUACACAAAGACACAAUUCCAUUAAG